rnacentral:lncRNA from 12 species
AUGCUAGUGUGUGUGUGUGUGUGUGUGUGUGUGUGUGUGUGUGUGUGUGUGUGUGUGUGUGUGUGUGUGUGUGUGUGUGUGUGUGUGCGUGUGCGUGUGUGUGUGUGUGUAUGUAAGUUUUAGACAUAACAGUUAUGUAUUGAAUUAAGCUUAAAAUCUGUUAUAUAUUAAAUGCAAGAAAACAUGUAAGCAAUAUGAUGUCUACCUUUAAUUACAUUUUGAUAAAAAAUUAUGAAGGCAUUUUUUAUUUUUUGGUUAACAUGCACCUAUGCAUCACAAACAAUAAGACCAAAAUGUGCAUUAAGAAACAAUAUAGGGAAAAAAUGUAUUUCUAUUUUUUUGCUUUAUGAAACCUAAAAACACCAAAAAGGCUCUUUUAUCCUCAUUUGUUGGAAUUUUUAACAAGAAAUCCACAAGUACUGCAGUAAAGCAUUGAGUUGAUGAACCGUUAACAUUUUUAGCAUACUUGCACUUUAAAUGUCAUGUAAAUGUAAUUAAAUGCAUCGUGACCAUUACUAAAGUGAGUAAAUAUAGUCCUACCUGCUCAUUUGAAGUGGGAUGACACUUCACUUCCCACAUCUGAAUUAGUAAAAUUGUCCAUUUAUGCACUGUGUUUUAACCCACGGUUGUGCAGUGGUGCAAAUCUCUAAAAGUCUUUUUAACAUGCUUAUCAUUUGCAGUGACCCCAUGACAAUCUGCAGUACUUCAGCACUACGUCCUGGAUGCAAAAAUAGCAACUGUAAACAGGAAGUGCCUGUUGACCUUGUUUGCGUAUGCGUGCAGUUGAGGCCUCGCGUGCUUCUUUUCAACUUUAACGGAUACAGUUUCAAGAUAAAGGACAUGUCUGCCGAAAAGAAGCCCAAAAAGAAGAAGCCCGAGUCGACUCCAGCAGAGACCAACGGGAUCGAAGCCAAAUCCAAAAAGACCAAGAGCAAGAAGAGCGACGAUCUGUCGGCCGAGAGCGACCUGGUCACUCAGAGUACGGCAGAGAGCUCAUGUCCUGAUGUUACAUCACAGCGCUUCUGUCAGUCUGUUUACACAACUCUCACAAACCUCCCUCACAGAUGGAGAGAAGGUGAAGAAGAAGAAACUGGAGAAGGACAAAGAAUCAACAGAAAAGGAGAAGGAAAUCAAAAAGAAAGCGAAAAGCGCUCCAAAGAAGAAGAAGAGUAAGUGACCCAGUGUUUUUUUAGUGUCAUUUGAUUUGUGACCCUGAAGCACAAAAGCAGUCUUAAGUCUCUGGGGUAUUUAUAUUUGUAGCAAUAGCCAAAAAAUAUUGUAUGGGUCAAAAUUGUAGAUUUUUCUUUCAUGCCAAAAAUCAGUAAAGUAAAGAUCAUGUUCCAUGAAGAUAUUUUGUAAAUUUCCUACCGUAAAUACAUCAAAACUUAAUUUUUGAUUAGUAAUAUACAUUGCUAAGAACAACUUUAUUCGGACAACUUUAAAGGCGAUUUUCUCAUUAUUUACAUUUUCAAAUAGUUGUAUUUCGGCCAAAUAUUGUCCGAUCCUAUCAAACCAUACAUCAAUGGAAAGAUGAUUUACUCAGCUUUCAGAUAAUGUAUAAAUCUCUCUUUUUUUUUUUUUUAAUUNAAUUUGAUGAGAAAUGUUUGAGAUCUUUACAUUUUAAUUGGAGAUUUUUUUUAAUAUUUUGAGCUCUGUUUGAAUCAUUAGUGAGAUCUUUUCAAAACCUCUAGAGAACUGAAGGGACAUAACUGAAGUCCUUUUCUAAUGAGAAAAAGUCUCAGUUUGCUCUUCAUUUCGUCUUGUGGCUGUUUGAAAGAGAAACAACUGUGAUACUAAAGACGUGACAUUUGACAAGCAAACUGAACCAGAUUUUCUGGACCUGAGCACUUAAAUGUGUUUAUUACAAAACAGGUUCUACAGAAGAUGAUGAUGAAGAGGAUGAUGAAGAGACCGCUCCACAGAAGAAGACGAAGAAAAAAACUUCAAAAGAAAGUUCUGAUGGAAAGGAAAAAGAUAAGAAGUCCAAAUCAAAAGGUGUCCUCUGUUCAAAGGAACUUUAAACUACGAAACACUUUAAACUUUCUAUUCUGAGAUAUAAUGUUAGUUUAGUUAGUUUCAACAAUACCUGCUAACUUGACUUAUUUAUGCU